GUGAUUUGAUUUAAUUUUGAGUUAAUUUUCAGCAAUGGUGUCAAUGAAGACGGAGAAUGGUCAAACAGUAAUGGUCCCACUCUUUCACAAUCACGAAAACAUAUAUGGGAAGCAUGUUUUCAGAUUUCUGUUAAACCAGUUUCAGGGAAGAAAGUAGAGCACAAUGGAAUCAAAGUUGAGCUGCUUGGUCAGAUAGGUGUGCUAUCUUUGUUUCUAUUGAUUUAAAUUCCCAACAUGCAAUGGUUGCUCACUUCGGUAGUUCUUCUGUGUAUGCUUUGUACUGAUAUAAUUUAUUUAUAUUAUUGCAAAACAGGUGUUUUGAUUAGGCUAACAUAGACUUACAUCUGACUAUCCUAUUGAAAGCACUAAUCUUUGAAAGACUUGCGAUAAUUUCCAAGGUAAAUCAUUCCAUUGAUUUGUGGAUGAACUUUUGUUGUCAAUGAAGUAAUUCAAAAAAAUUGUGCUUCUGUAAUCUUUUUUUCCUUCUUCUUUACGGAAUUACCGAAUGUCGUCGAGUUGCUUCCCUUUUUUCUUUUCUCGCUCUUUUUUUCCUCUCUUUAUGUUCGCGAAGCCGUUUCUUAUGAUCUUUUUCUGUGUAAAUGACACUCUUUUAGAAAGAUCAAUGUUAAUUUAAGACAUGGUAGUUGUAGACUCAAUCCUAUCGAGAGAGCUUAGACCACUAGAAGAGCGAUAUGCUGUAAGCCUCUUCUUUGGUUUACCAUUUGAAAAUUUUAAUGCAGUUUGGGACGAGAUAU